UUUAAGUUUGAACGAACUUUAAUUUUUUAUAAUGAAAGUGCUCUAAUUAUGUCAUGUUUUAGUUUAAGUUUAAAUGAUCAAUUGAUGAGUGUCAUAUGUCCAUGACCAGGAUGAAGCUUGGGUGAAAAUAAGUAGAGGUCCGAACAGACUGAUGCUGAAGAAUCAGCGGAUGAGUUGUGGUUAGGAGAGAAAUGCCACUCGAACCCAGAGCUAGCUGG
rnacentral:ncRNA from 1 species